rnacentral:rRNA from 2 species
GAGGCCUUCGGACUGGCCCAGGGAGGUCGGCAACGACCACCCAGGGCCGGAAAGUUGGUCAAACCCGGUCAUUUAGAGGAAGUAAAAGUCGUAACAAGGUCUCCGUAGGUGAACCUGCGGAGGGAUCAUU